AACGAACGCUGGCGGCAUGCCUAAUACAUGCAAGUCGAACGAUCACUUCGGUGGUAGUGGCGCACGGGUGCGUAACGCGUGGGAAUCUACCCUUGGGUUCGGAAUAACAGUUAGAAAUGACUGCUAAUACCGGAUGAUGACGAAAGUCCAAAGAUUUAUCGCCCAAGGAUGAGCCCGCGUAGGAUUAGCUAGUUGGUGAGGUAAAAGCUCACCAAGGCGACGAUCCUUAGCUGGUCUGAGAGGAUGAUCAGCCACACUGGGACUGAGACACGGCCCAGACUCCUACGGGAGGCAGCAGUAGGGAAUAUUGGACAAUGGGGGCAACCCUGAUCCAGCAAUGCCGCGUGAGUGAUGAAGGCCUUAGGGUUGUAAAGCUCUUUUACCCGAGGUGAUAAUGACAGUAUCGGGAGAAUAAGCUCCGGCUAACUCCGUGCCAGCCGCCGCAGUAAAAC
rnacentral:rRNA from 1 species